CCUCUGACACCCUGAGUCUCCAGGACCUAUGAAGUGAAGCUACACUGCUUUCACCUUCAGGCCUGGCUGUCAUCUAGUAAAUGUCAUAGCCAGGUGAGUUCACCAGUUCAGCAACAGAUACUUUCAAUCUUACCAAACUUUACCAGGAAGCAGAAAAAGAGGAGAUGUCAUCUCAAUUUAUUUUACAAAAUUAUUGACCUGACGUGGUGGCACAUGCGUGUAAUUUCAGCACUUGGGAGAUUGAGACAAGAGGAUCGCCAUGAGUUUGAGGCCAGCCUGGGCUGCACAGUGAGACCCUGUUCAAAAAAACAAAAACAAAAUUAUUUUCCUUGUUUUCCUCAAAGCAGAAAAAAUUCUAUGUGAAAAUAUAUGAACAAAAAUAAAAUAUUGUCAAACUGAAUGUAAUGUGUAUUACAUUAUAAUCAUUGGAUAUAUUUAGGAUGCAAGACUUAUUUUAGAUUUAGUUUAGGAUGCAAGAUUAAUUUGAAAUCAAAAUCUGAUAUAACAGACUAAAAGAGUGUAUUGGUCAUCUUAAUAGAUUUACAAAAAGCAUUCAAUGAAAUUCAAUAUGCAGAGGGUUAAUAGGAUUUCUUCAAUUUGUUAAAAAGUGUCAAUGAAAAAUAACAGUGACUAUCUUAUUUAAUGUUGAAAUGUUAACAAUUAUUCCCUUUAAAAUCAGAAACAAUUCAAGGACAUUUGUUAUGGUUUGUGUUUAGAUGUCUCCCCAAAGCCUCAUGAGGAUGAGGUGGGACUUUCUCAGAGGUAGCUGAAUCUGGAAUGUGUGAUGCUGAGAUUAAGGGCAUGUGAAGAACAACUACAUGUGAGUUAGUGGUUUAGCACCACUCUAAUCUUGGUAGUCUGGAUGGAAUAAAAGGCAGAAAGAUGCAGUGAAUCCCUCUUAUUACCUUUGCUACCUCAUGUGCACCAUGUUGUUUCUGGUCUGCGAU
rnacentral:lncRNA from 1 species